GCCCUAACGGCCGCGUCCGGGGCUGAGAGCUGGAGGAGCCCCGCGGCGGGCGUGCUCCAGCCCCGGCAGGCUACAGCAGCCCCGCCUCAGUUUCUCCCCUGCCUACCGUUGCCUGGGGGCUGGGAAAGGUGGAAACCGCCCAAAACACUUAGAUAUAAGAUCUGUGGAAUAUCUGGAAGCUGGUUUAAAGCCUGGUGAAGAAAGAUUUGGUGCAACUCUGAAGGGUUAUUAGACCCCCGGGGCCAUACAGGAAUGGGAGCUGCGGAGGGGGUAAUUAUUAGUGUUUUCUCUUGGUUGGUCUUGCUUUCCAAAAAGAGCUAAAAGAUUGAGCGAAUAAGCCAGCAACCCUGCCAGCCCAGCAUUUUUCCCCCUUAAAAAGUCGUAUUUAUUUUUAAUUUCAUGUAUUUUUAAUCCCUAUAAAAAUUCAAAUAAUACAGAUAAAAUGAAAACCAAUCCAUUUCCUUGAGGUAAACACUUAUCUAUUCAAUCCCAGCUUUAGGGCAUUUGCAGCCUCUGGCAAAGGAAUUCUCCUUUAAACUUGGAGAUUCAGAGUUUGUUCGGGGGGAUCGCACACUCUUCGUUGGGUAGAAGCCACUGUUCUUCCACGCACUCAGCGAAGACUUAGGAACUGUACCAAAAGCAUGACAUACAAGCGUCCCAUGUAAUUUCCACAAGUCAAUGGAGUCAGGCAUUAUUACUCCCAUUUUACAGAUGAUGAGACGGGAGUAGGAAGGUUAAGUGGCCAAGGUUACCCAGUUAUUAAGUGGUAGAAUCAAUACUCAAGCCAAGAACUGGCUGAAUCCAAAGCAGGCUCUUAACUCAUUACUGUGUUAUUCACAGAUGAAUAAAAUAUAGCUCUUGUAUCUAAGGGCUUUACAGUCUCCUUGAGCUCUAGUUAAGGCAGUUUAACCAGCCGGCUGGGAACAUUAGCGCUUCCUAUUGUUAAAAAAAAAUUCAAGUAAAUGUAAAGAUCAAAUUGGCUGUAUUUAAGGAUUUAUGAAUCACACAGCAUCCCAUCUAGCAAACAGAAAAGGAGCUCUGAGGAGCUGUACAAAAUGGAAGGGUUUUUAGGACGAAGGGAAGUGGAAAAGGAAGUUCUGAACAAAGAGUGGAUUGUUUCCGGCAAGGUUACCUUCCCUUGGAGGAAGAGUUGGGGGAUCAAUCAUGCGGAACACCUCACUAGAGUGGAUCAAAUAAUUCCAGAAAGACUGGCUAAGGGCACAUUCCUGGGAGAGGCAGAGACCAAUUAAGUCUUGGUUUGCUGUCCUGGGGGCAGUUUGGGGCCUAUUGUUCCUUUCUUCCCCCCCCCCCGCCCCCCCCAAGUGAAACAUGUGAUCAAAAUUGAAGCCAUUAGCGCAGCUCUGUACUUCUCACAGCUUUUGCUGAUCCUCUGUGUGAUUUUCACAGGUUGAGAUGUGUUUUUUUGCUGGAUCUCCGUGGUAGUCACAGGUCAUGACUCCAGGUUCACAGUUUUCUAGAUGGUCGUUUCCUUCACUCCUUUUCUGGCGUUCAGGUCUUAGGGAGAUCAUUUGCUUGGUGGUUAGUCGCUGUUACACCUGCGUUUAAAGCUUUGGAGGGAACAGAGUGUACUAGGGAGACCACUGUGAUUAUUAUGAGCAGAAUAAUUCCCACUGUUUGGAGUGCACUUUGGAGCCAUGGUCCCCAAGACCCAACCCAGUCAAAAUCAAUUUGAUUUGGAAGUUUCCAGUAUCUGCCUAGGAUCAGAUGUCACAUGGGGCCUUCUUUACCUGUGAGAUGUCCACCCAACCCUCAGUGCCUUCUGGCUUCACAUCAGUGUCAGGAGCCCUUGCUGGAUGCCGAAGCCCAGGGGAUCUUGGAAGCCAUCGUUGAGGACGGAAGACCCUCUCCCUCCCCCAUCAACUUGGGUCCUAUAAGGGCUGUACAGAGCAGAGUCCUGCUUCUCCAAUCCAGGAGCAUCCACAGGGGACUCUUGCCAAGUGCUGAUGGACAGCCUGGUGCCCAGAUAGCAGAACGCUGUGACAGCUUUCAGCACCGGGUCGCUGAUGGAAAUCUCGGCUUAUGGCUCGGUUUCCCUGGCGCAUGACUGCGGUCUUCGUCGAGCUGAGCCCAGGGUGCUUGCACUGCAGAAGCUUUGCAGUAUCGGCAAGCCUCUUUGCAGAUGCAGUCCGGGAGUGCAGACAUCAGCAACCACUGGAUUAUAAUCAAAAGGUCUCAUCAAAAGGUUAGCCUGGAGAGGAUGGGGCAUCUUUUCAAAGGGCCAAGGGAAUAGGGAGGUUAAAUGUAAAAAAAAAAAAAGUCUGGAAGGUGAACUCCAAGGGCUCAGUGGGUCCGUGAAGCAGGCUUUGAAAUAUUCUGUCUUGAUUUAUUUGAAAUGACAAUAGUACAACACGUUUGUUGCAACAUCGUCAGUCCAACAAUACUAAAGCACGCCAAGUCUACUCCUCCCAAGUAAUUGCCAUUGGUGGUAGCUGGUACGCAUCUUAGAAGUCUGUCUGUCUGUCUGUCUAUAUUUAUUGAUUUAAAGAUUUUAUUUUUGGGGUGCCUGGUGGCUCCGUCGGUUGGGCGUCCAAC